rfam:Fistulifera solaris DNA, contig: scaffold00053, strain: JPCC DA0580.
AUUCUUGUUCAGAGACAGUAGCUAAGUUAAUGAGGUUCCUACCGACGACUAGCUGUUGCUGAUUGCAAACAAGACAAGUGUUACUGUCGCUCGAAAGAGUUGUACGAAUAUUUGACACCCCUCGUGGG